AAAUUGAAUGAAAAGGCUGAACGAGAGAGAAACCGCGAUUUUCUUACAGUGAGAAUCGCGAUUUGCGAAGAUGACUGCGCCGACAGCUUCGAUGGCGAAGGAUGUGCAGCGUACAGUAAUACAAUCUACGAAAUGUGCAAGUUGUACCUCAAAAUUCGCCUUCUUGGCCGGCUAGGUCACGGUCAACGACGACGCCUCCGUCUGGCCUGGCUCUGUCCGCUUGGUCUUCCCACACAGGUUGGUUCUGUUACAGCCAUAUGUUUCACCUGCUUUCUCUUAAGAUGCUUUGUGACACCAUGCAAAGAAACAGGUCUUUUGUCACAAGGACGAACUCAAGUCCGAUAUACUCCCUAGCAUCAUGCAAAGUUAUAGUUUCAAUAUUCGUAGCGCCUCCUAUUCUGUAACACAUGACCAUGAACAGAUUUUAACAUAUGUUACUUUUACAUUUUCCAGUUGUGGUUCCCGCCCCUUAAUGUUCCAUCAUUUCAUUUGUGUUUUAGAGAGCACAAGC